CCUACGGGUGGCAGCAGUGGGGAAUAUUGCACAAUGGGGGAAACCCUGAUGCAGCGACGCCGCGUGAGUGAAGAAGUAAUUCGUUAUGUAAAGCUCUAUCAGCAGGGAAGAAAAUGACGGUACCUGAGUAAGAAGCCCCGGCUAACUACGUGCCAGCAGCCGCGGUAAUACGUAGGGGGCAAGCGUUAUCCGGAUUUACUGGGUGUAAAGGGAGCGUAGACGGCAGUGCAAGUCUGGAGUGAAAGGCGGGGGCUCAACCCCCGGACUGCUCUGGAAACUGUACGGCUGGAGUGCAGGAGAGGUAAGGUGGAAUCCUAGGGGAGGGGGUGAAUGCGUAGGUAAUAGGAGGAAAAACAGGGGCGAAGGCCGCUUAACGGA
rnacentral:rRNA from 1 species